ensembl:lncRNA
GUGUGUGUUUAUGGCUGUAUUGGUCUGGGAUAUGAGGUGUGUGUUUAUGGCUGUAUUGGUCUGGGAUAUGAGGUGUGUUGUUUAUGGCUGUAUUGGUCUGGGAUAUGAGGUGUGUGUUAGGCUGUAUUGGUCUGGUAUGAUGUGUGUUUUGGCUGUAUUGGUCUGGGAUGAGGGUUGGUUUAUGGCUGUAUGAUCGGGCUAUGAGGGUGUGUUAUGGCUGUUGGUCUGGGAUAUGAGGUGUGUGUUUAUGGCUGUAUUGGUCUGGGUUGAGGUGUGUGUUAUGGCUGUUAUUGAUCUGGGAUAUGUCAUAUAUUUGAGUUGAGUGAAAGUUGAUCCCAGCUGAUGCUCAAUUUGGCCCCUCAUCUAAAGAAAAUGAGAAAACACAACCUCAGUGUGUAUAUAGAUGUACCUCCACAUAUACUCAUACUGAAUGUUUCAGUGUGAAAUGUGGUAUGUUUACAUAGAUGUACUUCCACAUUACUCAUCUGAAUGUUUCAGUGUAAAUGUGGUAUGUUUACAUAGAUGUACUUCCACAUAUACUCUUACUGAAUGUUUCAGUGUGAAAUGUGUAUGUUUACAUAGAUGUACUUCCACAUAUACUCAUACUGAAUGUUUUAGUGUGAAAUGUGGUAUGUUUACCUAGAGGUACCUCCACAUAUACUCCUACUGAAUGUUUUAGUGUGAAAUUUGGUAUGUAUACAUAGAUGCCUGACCUAUUCCACUCUGUGCGUGUGUCUGUUUGUGAGCCUGCGAGGGAGAUGACGGUGUCUGACAUGAACAUGGUUAAAUCUCUCUAUCAACCUCUAUAUGAAGUAGGAAACAUUGUCAGGUUAAAAACCACAUUGCAUGGUGUGUGUGUAUGGCUGUGUGUAUGUGGGUUAUGUCUGUGUGCCGGGACGUCAUGCACCCAUUAUUUAGAGGAGGGAGAACGUACGUGAGGAUGGGGGGCUGGUCCGGAGAGGGGGGUUGGUCCGGAGGGAUGGCUGUUCCGAGAGGGGUUGGUCCGGAGGGAUGGCUGUUCCGGAGAGGGGGUUGGUCCGGAGAUCGGGUUGGUCAGGAGGGAUGGCUGUUCCGGAGAGGGGGUUGGUCCGGAGGGAUGGCUGUUCGGAGAGGGGUUGGUCCGGAGGGAUGGCUGUUCCGGAGAGGGGGUUGGUCCGGAGGGAUGGCUGUUCCGGAGAUCGGGUUGGUCCGGAGGGAUGGCUGUUCCGGAGAUGGGGUUGGUCCGGAGGGAUGGCUUUCUGGAAUCUGGAAGUUGGAUAAUUUUGCCUGAAACACCCUAAACAACUUCUAGAGCCAUAAUCAUUAUGCCUAAUUCUAUUUUUUUUAAAUCUAUGUUUAUUUUUCUGCAUAGGUUAUAUUUAAGCAAUAAGGCCUGAGGGAGUGUGGUAUAUGGCCAAUAUACCAUGGCUAAUGGCUGUUCUUACGCAAGACGCAACGCAGAGUGCCUGGAUACAGUCCUUAGCCGUGGUAUAUUGGCCAUAUACCACAAAACCCUGAGGUGCCUUAUUGCUAUUAUAAACGGGUUACUAAUGUAAUCAGAGCAGUAAAAAUAUUUUUGGGUCAUACCCAUGGUGGCUUUCAGCCAAUCAGCAUUCAGGGCUCGAACCACCCAGUUUAUAAUAGCUAAGAUAGUUGGACAAGCUACUCUAACUUGAUUGAUAGCCUAAAAUGACUUGUUAGCUGCUUAUGAGGUUAGAAGAUUGGGAACCUUUCUAGCUGGUUAGCUAAAGACAACUUUAUAAAAUUGCUUAGUGGCUAGUAUUACAGAGAAACAACAAAACAUUUUAGUUUUAUUUAUUCAUCAAGAAGUAAUCAAAUGGCUACAGAGCUUGAUCACAUUCAUGAGCCCAUUACCAGAAGCUAAAAUCAAAUCAAAUGCUGUGUGUGUCACUCUACUCUCUCUCUCUCCAGUCAGGGUGCCCCCUCUUAAUUAUGAUAAAACGUGAGUUAUUAAUUUAACAUCUGAAAAAAAAAACACACAAAAAAACAGGACAAAUCUGACAGGGCACGUGCCAUUGUGCCUCUAUGGGCAUGACGACACUGUGUGUGUGUGUAUGUGAUCCUGGCUCCUGGCCCUAGUAGACAAACCUGCGUGUUAGCAUGCUGGUCACAUAUCUCAUCUCAGACACCCACACCCACGCACGCACGCACACACACACACCGCUCGUCUCACACUGACAGCUCUGUAUUACGACCCAGCAGUCACAUCUACCUGCACAGGAAGGAGGGAGGAAAGGGGGGUGAAAGGAUGUAAGGAGAGAAGGAAAGAUGGAGUAAAAUAAUCAUCUUACAUUUUUUUCCAUGCCUAUCUUGGUGUGGAUUUGGUGAGGACGAUGACAAUGGCAGAAAAUUACAUUCAAUUAAAAAGUGGCCAAUCUUCAAUCGAGCCCUCCCCAAUAUCCCCUGUGGAUAUUUUAUAUUGUACAUAUUCAAUUCUUUUCUAUACUUUAUAUAUGCUGCUCUUUCCAUGACAUAGACCGACCAGGUGAUCCAGAUGAAAGCUAUGAUACCUGAUUGAUAUCACUUGUUAAAUCCACGUUAAUCAGUGUAGAUGAAGGGGAGGAGACAGGUUAAAGAAUGAUUUUUAAGCCUUGAGACAACUGAAACAUGGAUUGUGUAUGUGUGCCAUUCAGAGGAUGAAUAGGCAAGACAAAAUAUUUAAUUGUGUUUGAACAGGGUAUGCUAGGCACACCAGUUUGUGUCAAGAACUGCAAUGCUGCUGGGUUUUUCACACUCAACAGUAUCCUGUGUAUCAAGAAUGGUCCACCACCCAAAGGACAUCCACGAAUCUAGGCAUUUCUGAGGGUAAAGGGGGGUGCAAUUCAAUACUAGGAAGGUGUUUCUUAAUGUUUGGUAUACUCAGUGUAUAACCAACCAAUCCUUCCAGAUCAAGACAGUUCCUCUGCCCAGAAGGGGAAGUUUGCCAUACAGAACUCUGCCACCUGAUGGCAGUAGUACUCUAGUAUUCCACAUUGACAGUGAAGCCUGUCCUCAUAAUGGUAAUUAUGAAUAAGCUAGAAACCCUCAGUCAACACUAUCUGACCAUGUUAGAAAGAAUCAACGUUUUUAGUUUACCUUCCUUAGUAACCCUUUAACUUUGAACUCAUAUUUGGUUGUUAUUUAUGAUAAUGUUACACACACUUUGGAUUCAUGGUUCAGGGAAUGGAGAGGAGGGAGAAAGAAAAAGCAUGCACUCCCCUCCCCUCUCUUAAAAGUGCGUAUCAUUAACACCCGUAACAACUUCUGCAUCUCAAUAGCAGUGGCGGUGCAAUUUAAAGUAUAGUGAUUUUACACACAUGACUUCUAUCUUUAACCAAGGUCGCUGAGAUCCUAUCUGAAGGUUAAGUCUGACUGACUCCUUCGGCAGCUACUCACACUGUGUGUGUAUGUGUGCACAAAGCUUGCGUGUGUGUGUUGUAUGUGCGUGCGCUCUAACGUGUGGGGUGUCAUGUUAUCUGCUAUGUGCUACCCUCAUAGCUAGGCAGUAAAAGAUAUAAGGAACAAUUGGUAAAAGUGACAGUUUAAUAGAGAAAGAUUAUCCUCGCUACAAUCAAUUUAAUUGAAUUGAAUACAUUUUCCACCACAGGUCGAACGGGGUUCUUGGAUGAAUGAGCCUGUCGGAUGGUUUUUGUCUUUGUAGUGAUAGAGGGAGAGAAAGAGAAGGGAGAGAGAGAGAGAGAGGGAGAGAGAUAGAGAAGAGAUAGAGGAGAGAGAGAGAGAGAGAUAGAGAGAGGAGAGAGGGAGAGAGAUGAGUAGAGAGAGAGAGGGAGAGAGAGAAGAUGAGAGAGAGAGAGAGGAAGAGAGAUCUAGAGCGAGAGAGAGAGAGAGAGAGAGAAGGCGAGAGAACGUG